UACUUCCCUUUUUUAUGUUAUAUCAGUACAAUCAAAUUAUACAUGUAUUCUUUUUGUAUAUCCACAACAGAAAUACAAUUCUCAAGAGUUAUUUUUACCUUUUCUGCACCUCUUGAGUUCUAUGCUUGGAGAUCAAAUUUUUUGUUUCGUUCUGGUUUUUUCUUCAGAAACAAAUGGAAUUCAUUUGUUUCAUUAAAUGUCCAUCUUCUUCCCUGGAAGAAAAUGCUCAGCUUAGCUGGGUAGUUUAUUCUUGGCUGCAUCUCAAGUUCUUGUGCCUUUCGGAAUACCAUAUUCCAGGCCUUUCUUUCCUUUAAUGUAGAGGCAGCCAGAUCUUGGGUGAUCCUUAUUGUGGCACCUCGGUAUUUAAAUGGUUUUUUUUUUUUUUGCUGCUUGUAAAAUUUUUUCCUUAAUCUGAUAGUUCUGAAAUUUUGCCACAAUAUUCCUUGGGGUUUUUAUUUUACAGUUUCUUUCAGAAGGUGUUCGAUGAAUUCUUUCAAUGCCUAUUUUACCUUCUGAUUCUAUUACAUCUGGGCAGUUCUCUUUGAUGAUUUCUUGUAAAAAUAGUAUUCAGGCUCUUUUUCAUCAUAGCUUUCGGAAAGUCCAAUAAUCCUCAGAUUAUCUCUCCUAGAUCUAUUUUCCAAAUCUGUCGUUUUUGCAAGUAGAUAAUUCAUGGUUUUUUCCAGUUUGUCAUUUUUUUUUUGCUUGACUGAUUCUUGCUGUCUCAAUGAAUCAUUAGUUUCUAUUUGUUCAGUUCUAAUUUUAAAGAAUUAUUUUCUUCAUUAGCUUUUUUACUUCUUUCUGUAUAUGUCCAAUUGAGUUUUUGAAUGUAUUGUUUUGGUCUGUGGAAUUUUUUUCCAUUUCACUAAUUUUUUUUUUUUAGUGAAUUAUUUUCUUUUUCCAAUUCACCGAUCCUACUUUCUUGCGUGUUCUUUGUCUUUUCCAAUUCACGGAUCCUACUUUCUAGUGAAUUCUUUAUUUUUUCCAAUUCACAAUUCUUACUUUCCUGUGAUUUUUUUAUUUUUUCCAAUUCACCAAUUUGCACUUCCUGGGAAUUUUUUAACUUUUCCAAUUCGUAUUUCAGGAAGUUGUUGCUCUCUUGUAAGGCUUCUCUUUCCUUUCCCCAUUUAUCUUCU
rnacentral:lncRNA from 1 species